rnacentral:rRNA from 1 species
GUAGGUGGCAAGCGUUGUCCGGAAUUAUUGGGCGUAAAGCGCGCGCAGGCGGUUCUUUAAGUCUGAUGUGAAAGCCCACGGGCUCAACCGUGGAGGGUCAUUGGAAACUGGAGAACUUGAGUACAGAAGAGGAAAGCGGAAUUCCACGUGUAGCGGUGAAAUGCGUAGAGAUGUGGAGGAACACCAGUGGCGAAGGCGGCUUUCUGGUCUGUAACUGACGCUGAGGCGCGAAAGCGUGGGGAGCAAACAGGAUUAGAUACCCUGGUAGUCCACGCCGUAAACGAUGAGUGCUAAGUGUUAGGGGGUUUCCGCCCCUUAGUGCUGCAGCUAACGCAUUAAGCACUCCGCCUGGGGAGUACGACCGCAAGGUCG